rnacentral:rRNA from 1 species
UACGUAGGGUCCGAGCGUUUGUCCGGAAUUAUUGGGCGUAAAGGGCUCGUAGGCGGUCUGUCACGUCGGGAGUGAAAACUCAGGGCUUAACCCUGAGCCUGCUUCCGAUACGGGCAGACUAGAGGUAUGCAGGGGAGAACGGAAUUCCUGGUGUAGCGGUGAAAUGCGCAGAUAUCAGGAGGAACACCGGUGGCGAAGGCGGUUCUCUGGGCAUUACCUGACGCUGAGGAGCGAAAGCGUGGGGAGCAAACAGG